AGUGAACGCUGGCGGUAGGCCUAACACAUGCAAGUCGAACGGCAGCACAGUAAGAGCUUGCUCUUACGGGUGGCGAGUGGCGGACGGUUGAGGAAUACAUCGGAAUCUACUUUUUCGUGGGGGAUAACGUAGGGAAACUUACGCUAAUACCUCAUACGACCUACGGGUGAAAGCAUGGGAUCUUCGGACCUUGCGCGAUUGAAUGAGCCGAUGUCGGAUUAGCUAGUUGGCGGGGUAAAGGCCCACCAAGGCGACGAUCCGUAGCUGGUCUGAGAGGAUGAUCAGCCACACUGGAACUGAGACACGGUCCAGACUCCUACGGGAGGCAGCAGUGGGGAAUAUUGGACAAUGGGCGAAAGCCUGAUCCAGCCAUACCGCGUGGGUGAAGAAGGCCUUCGGGUUGUAAAGCCCUUUUGUUGGGAAAGAAAAGCAGCAGGUUAAUACCCCGCUGUUCUGACGGUACCCAAAGAAUAAGCACCGGCUAACUUCGUG
rnacentral:rRNA from 1 species